AAACCAGCACCUCAAGUGGUCAGGAGGAUUAUUGGGCCUAAAGCAUCCGUAGCCUGUUCUAUAAGUUUUCGGUUAAAUCCAUUAGCUCAACUAAUGGGCUGCCGAAAAUACUGUAGAACUAGGGAGUGGGAGAGGUAGACGGUAUUCGGUAGGAAGGGGUAAAAUCCUUUGAUCUAUUGAGGACCACCUGUGGCGAAGGCGGUCUACCAGAACACGUUCGACGGUGAGGGAUGAAAGCUGGGGGAGCAAACCGGAUUAGAAACCCUAGUAGUCC
rnacentral:rRNA from 1 species